GCGCCGGUGGUCUAAUGGCUAUGACUUCAGCCUUCCAAGCUGACUAUCCGGGUUCGAAUCCCGGCUGGCGCA
rnacentral:tRNA from 1 species